rnacentral:lncRNA from 1 species
GCCUGCUAUGAAAGCUCCACAGGAGGACUAGGCUAGACUGAUCAAUCGAUCUCACUUGCCUAGUCCAAGGACAAAUGCCAACCAUCUCAGCUGACCAAACAGCCUCAACUGGAGGAGUGCAAGACCUCCCCAACAUCACUGUCAAGGAGUGAUUCUACAUCAGACAACUUAUCUCCUCAUCAUCCAACUCUGGAGGAGGAGAUGGAAAAGA